ACAGAACAAACUCACUCUUACUGAAAAUCAAGUUUCGGGGGUGAAUGUCUUCUCGCAAGGUUUCUCUGGAAAUCAUUUUAAGGGGAAAUCUUCUUUCCAGAAACCUGCUUAUAGUUUCCUAGAGUCCGUGCUGCCGGGGAAAUCAUCUUCAGCAAAAACCAGUUAUUUGCAGGGAAGAGAGUGGAAAUGAUAUACGUGGACAUCUUCAAUCUCUUCUUGUACUAAAUGUUUCUCAACAAGAGAGACAUGUGCUGUAAGCCUGUAACUGCGAAGAAUUAGAUCUCGAAGGGAUCUAUUUCGUUUU